GGCUCUGUGGCGCAAUGGAUAGCGCAUUGGACUUCUAGGCUGUGAGCUGAGCCAUUCAAAGGUUGUGUGUUCGAGUCCCACCAGAGUUG
rnacentral:tRNA from 1 species